rnacentral:rRNA from 1 species
AUUGAACGCUGGCGGCAGGCCUAACACAUGCAAGUCGAACGAGUGGCGGACGGGUGAGUAAUGUCUGGGAAUCUGCCUGAUGGAGGGGGAUAACUACUGGAAACGGUAGCUAAUACCGCAUACUAUCGGAUGUGCCCAGAUGGGAUUAGCUAGUAGGUGGGGUAAAGGCUCACCUAGGCGACGCGCCCUAGCUGGUCUGAGCGGAUGACAAGCCACACUGGAACUGAGACACGGUCCAGACUCCUACGGGAGGCAGCAGGGGGGAAUAUUGCACAAUGGGCGCAAGCCUGAUGCAGCCAUGCCGCGUGUAUGAAGAAGGCCUUAGGGUGGUAAAGUACUUGCAGCGGGGAGGCGUUACCCGCAGAAGAAGCACCGGCUAACUCCGUGCCAGCAGCCGCGGUAAUUC